rnacentral:rRNA from 1 species
UACGUAGGAUGCAAGCGUUGUUCGGAAUUACUGGGCGUAAAGAGUACGUAGGCGGUAAUGAAAGUCUGAUAUUAAAGACUGGGGCUUAACCUCAGGAGUGUAUCGGAAACUUCAUAACUAGAGGACAGUAGAGGAAAUUGGAAUUCCCAGUGUAGCGGUGAAAUGCGUAGAUAUUGGGAGGAACACCAGUGGCGAAAGCGAAUUUCUGGGCUGUUACUGACGCUGAGGUACGAAAGUGUGGGGAGCAAAC